ensembl:lncRNA
CUCGGCAACCACAUCAUCUAAUUCCUUUAGAACCCUGGGAUGCAUGCCAUCCAUCCCGAUAGAUUUGUACACAUUCAGCCUUAUGAGGUAGUCUCAGACUUGCCCUGCUGUCAGAGGCCAAAUUAGCAUUCAUUGUGUCUCAUCUGAUGGAGCUAAUCCCACCCGAGUGUGGCCAGCCACCAAUUUUCACAUACUGCCAUUCUGACUGUUUUACUGUCAAGCUGUUUCUUAGUGACGUACAUUCAUUCAAGGCAAAGGGCUUACAAAACGCAACACAGCAUUCUGCCUUAGGAGGCAUUGCAGUGAAGCCUGUAAAAAGAGUUCAAGUGUUUCACCAGCCUGACUGAAGAGAUGGCACAGAUUUGCUUGUUAGCACACAAGUCCAUCCCUAGGUCAGGAACAAUUACUCUGAGUUCAACUUAAUUAUGCUAAUCAAGCAAGCAAUUAGAAGGAUAAGGGUGAGUGACUUGCAGAGAUGAAGAAAUAGCUAGCCUUUUUGGUAAAAAGGAUGACUUGUAAUUAGUGUGAAUGGAAAACUGAGAGCUUCGUUUGGACUGAGAGAGGAAGAAGUGGAGUGCAUUACCAGCCUACAUAGACAUUGGACAGAACAUCUUUCUUCAGUGUUCUUGUCCUUUGAGUUCUGAUUGUGAUGUCCACGCAAACAGGCCUGCAACAAGACCUCUCUUGAAAACAACAAUGGUGAAUUAUGCAUACUUCGACUUCUC